rnacentral:rRNA from 1 species
GACGAACGCUGGCGGCGUGCUUAACACAUGCAAGUCGAACGGAAAGGCCCUGCUUUUGUGGGGUGCUCGAGUGGCGAACGGGUGAGUAACACGUGAGUAACCUGCUCUUGACUUUGGGAUAACUUCAGGAAACUGGGGAUAAUACCGGACAGGAGCUCCUGCUGCAGGGUGGGGGUGGGAAAGUUUCGGCGGUUGGGGUUGGACUCGCGGCUUAUCAGCUUGUUGGUGGGGUAGUGGCUUACCAAGGCUUUGACGGGUAGCCGGCCUGAGAGGGUGAGCGGCCACAUUGGGACUGAGAUACGGCCCAGACUCCUACGGGAGGCAGCAGUGGGGAAUAUUGCACAAUGGGCGGAAGCCUGAUGCAGCAACGCCGCGUGCGGGAUGACGGCCUUCGGGUUGUAAACCGCUGUCGCCUGUGACGAAGCGAGAGUGACGGUAAUGGGUGAAGAAGCACCGGCUAACUACGUG